GGGACAUCUGGAGAUCACUGAGUCCAACCUGCUAAAGCCAGUUCCCUACAGCAGGUCACACAGGUGGGCGUCCGGCCAGGUUUUGAGUAUCUCUGGAGAAGGAGACUUCACUACCACCCUGUGCAGCCUUUGAGAGAUAAAUAGGUCCAACUCUAACGAAACUUUUCACAGAUCUAACCGGGCCUUAGAUGAGGUAAGGGCUUUGUUCUGCCCGCUCCCCAUGCCAGUACAACAGGGAAAUACUCACAGAGCCAAAGCAGAUGUAGCCGAACCAAAAGCAGAGCUGCAGGCUCGCGUAGCCCACAGCUCCAAGCGACUGUUCUUCUAAGCGCUGCCUCACGAGCCAUAGAGCCUGCAACCUGGACAAACAGGCAGCUCUCGCGCAGCCGGCCCGCAGCGAGCGCAACCGGCGGCAGCAGCCCGCGGCCGGCCGGGCUGGGGCACGGGGAGGAGCCGCGCCGCUGAGCACCGCCUCUUCCCGAGGCCCGGAGCCGCUCCCCUCGGCACAGCGCCUGCGCGGCGUCGCGCUCUCCCCGCGGGGGUCGGGAGACGCCUGGCUGGGAGGGUUAUGGUGCUGCUCGGCCUUGAGGCUGUGCGCAGUGCCCAGUGCCAUUCUAGGCCCUGUACCUCACACAACCAUUAGCGUCGCCGGGAUUGUUUCGAUAACAAAACAAGGAGAGCGAGGUUUCAAUUCCAGUUUAGGCAGCCACGUUCUCCAUAAAUGGAGCAGUGAUUGAAAUGCCAGCAGCCAUGUUGCAGAGAGCAUGCUGAGGAGCGUGCCCACAGCCUCACAGUGGUGGGGAGACGUGGUUAAGGGAGGCACAGCAGUUCCAAAAUCUGGGUACUGCAGGAGGUGACCGUCCCUCCGCACUGGCACUGCUGAGGCCGCACCUCGAGUGCUGCGCUCAGUGCUGGGCCCUCACUGCGAGAAAGACACUGAGGGCCUGGAGCGUGUCCAGAGAAGGGCAGCGGAGCUGUGAGGGCUCUGGAGCACAGUGUGAUGGGGAGCGGCUGAGGGAAGUGGGGCUGUUCGGUCUGGAGAAGAGGAGGAUCAGGGGAGACCGCCUGGAUCUCUGCAGCGACCUGAAAGGAGGCUGUGUGAGGUGGGGUUGGCCUCUGCUCCCAGGGAACAUCCAUAGGACGAGAGGGGAUGGCCUGACGUUGUGCCAGGGGAGGUUCAGGUUGGCUAUUAGGAACAAUUCUUUCUCCCAGAGAGUGGUGAGGCAGUGGCACAGCUGCCCAGGGAGUGGUGGGGUCACCGUCCCUGGAGGUGCUCAAGAAAAGGGUAGAUGUCACACUGAGUGAUGUGGUCUAGAGCAGUAACAGACAUGGGCUGACGGUUGGACUUGAUGAUCUUAGUGGUCUUUCCAACCUUAGUGAUUCUGUGACCUCCAUAAAAAUGGGCACUAAUCCUCAGCCAGGAUAGAAUGAUAAUCCUCUUAGAUAGAAGAGACCAGGCAGGC
rnacentral:lncRNA from 1 species